rnacentral:rRNA from 1 species
AAAGAAAAUAACAAUGAUUCCCCUAGUAACGGCGAGCGAAGAGGGAAUAGCUCAAAUUUUAAAUCUGUUGGGUCUUACCUAACCGAGUUGUAAUUUGAAGAAGCGUUUUCUGCGUGUUUGAUUUAGCCCAAAUCCUUUGGGAUAAGGUAUCAUGGAGGGUGAGAAUCCCGUCCGGCCUAAUCAAAUGUGCUUUACGAUACGUUUUCUAAGAGUCGAGUUGUUUGGGAUUGCAGCUCAAAAUGGGAGGUAAAUUUCUCCUAAGGCUAAAUAUUGGCGAGAGACCGAUAGCGAACAAGUACCGUGAGGGAAAGAUGAAAAGAACUUUGAAAAGAGAGUUAAACAGUACGUGAAAUUGUUGAAAGGGAAACGAUUAAAGUCAGUCGUACUAACGGGGAAUCAAUCUUUUGAGGGUGGAAUUGUGGGAUUCAAAGUGCCUUUGUUUUUCACAACCUGCUUUUUUUGGGUGUACUUUCUCGUAUUGUAGGUCAGCAUCGGUUUCGACCGUUAUAAAAUGACUGGAGGAAUGUAGCUUCGAUCUCGUAUUGAAGUGUUAUAGCCUUUGGUAGAUGUAACGGAUGGGAUCGAGGAUUGCAAUGAAUACCCUUCAUGGGCUAUCCGCCUGGCCUCUGACAUGUCACUCUGGUGCUGAAAGCGUGCUUAUGGCAUUAUAGUGGACGGUCAAAAGGUUAGAACGGAUUAAAUU